ACUCCUACGGGAGGCAGCAGUAAGGAAUAUUGGACAAUGCUCGCAAGAGUGAUCCAGCCAUUCCGCGUGCAGGAUGACUGCCCUAUGGGUUGUAAACUGCUUUUAGAUGGGAAGAAAAGUGCGACAUUUAAUGUUGUUUUGACGGUACCAUCAGAAUAAGGACCGGCUAACUCCGUGCCAGCAGCCGCGGUAAUACGGAGGGUCCAAGCGUUAUCCGGAAUCACUGGGUUUAAAGGGUGCGUAGGCGGAUAACUAAGUCUAAGGUGAAAGUCUGUGGCUUAACUAUAGAAUUGCCUUGGAUACUGGUUAUCUUGAAUUGGUUGAGGAUGGCGGAAUGUGACAUGUAGCGGUGAAAUGCAUAGAUAUGGUCAUAGAACACCGAUUGCGAAGGCAGCCAUCUGGGCCUUGAUUGACGCUGAGGCACGAAAGCGUGGGGAGCGAACAGGAUUAGAUACCCUGGUAGCUA
rnacentral:rRNA from 1 species